rnacentral:misc_RNA from 1 species
GGAGAAUUCAGAGAGAGAAGAAGAAUCUAGAAAAGAUAACAGAGUCUCAUGACUCAUCAUUUUUCAUAACUGAUUCACAUCCUGAGUUGCAUCACUAUACAUCGACUGAACUAAUUCUAGCUGAGCUGUAACAACUAACUAACUAACUAACUAACAACCCCUUGAAACCACUUCAACAACCAUUCCCACCAGAACUUCGUGCUUAUUUCUUCUUGAAGCUUUCU